rnacentral:lncRNA from 1 species
CUAUUUUAAUUAAUACGUAGUACUGAUACUGAUACCAGAUAGCAAUUUUAUUAUUGAUUCAGUCUGCUAAUGAAAACACAGAAGGACUGGUGAACAAGAAGAGGCUGAAGGAAUCACAUUAUUCAGGAAAAUUCCACUCUGAAGCCUACAGCACUCAUCCAUUUGAAUUAAUUAUGAUCUAGUACAACAACAAACAUCGGAUUGUCCUGCCACAGUUAUACAAUUCCCGACUAAUUUGAACCAGGCGUUGCAAUUAAACACACAACCUCCCUUCGGCAGCUUCGAACAGAAUCCGAAAUUUGCCAGACACUGCUGCUGCUGCUCUGCCCCGAAUUGAUCAGCUCCUCUUGGACCUGGGGCUACCGCUGUUGAUAAAUUAUUACCACCAGAAACGAUAAUAAUCAGAGUGGUAAUACAUAUGAUUGCCGCAAGGGAUGGGGUAUUGCUGCUGCGGGAGGUGGAAGCCAUGGUUAAUUAGGCGUUUGGCUUAUUAUUACAACAACUUAAUCUCGAAUAGAAGAAAUAACUCUGUUGCAACGGAAAAAGAAACUGCGUCUCGUGUAUUAAUAGAGCUGGUAGCUACUGUUUUGGCGUGUUGCAGAGCAGCUGUUGUUUUUAAAUUUCUUUGUGCUGGGAGGGCGCAAGUUUUGGUAACGUAUUAGUUUGUUUUGACACAGAGGACAUCCG